rnacentral:misc_RNA from 1 species
GAUCUACAAAAAGCAAGCCUUAACUUAGGCUUUCAGAAAAGGCACUCUUGUUUUUGUAAAGUGGUGUGUUUUUAUGAGAUGAUGCCGGGGAAGGUUUUCCGGUUUAUCCCGGAGGGCUUGUAGCUCAGUUGGUUAGAGCGCGCGCUUGAUAAG